rnacentral:lncRNA from 1 species
UACCGAAACUUAAUCGAUCGCAACAGAAUGGAAACAAGGACCUUAACUCAGAUUACGAUUCCUCAUUCAAGAGAGGAGACCAAAUCGACAUGGGGAUCCUAUGGCGUAGACAAACAGGGGUUCGAUGUUCGACGAGCAAAUUCCAGGACUGAAACGAUCGAGACUGGCUAGAGGAGUCAACGAUAGUUUCGUCGUCGCCGCCGAAAAUUUUUCGAUCCUGG